rnacentral:rRNA from 1 species
CCUANGGGGGGCAGCAGUGGGGAAUAUUGGACAAUGGGCGCAAGCCUGAUCCAGCCAUGCCGCGUGGGUGAUGAAGGCCCUAGGGUUGUAAAGCCCUUUCGGCGGGGAAGAUAAUGACGGUACCCGCAGAAGAAGCCCCGGCUAACUUCGUGCCAGCAGCCGCGGUAAUACGAAGGGGGCUAGCGUUGCUCGGAAUCACUGGGCGUAAAGCGCACGUAGGCGGACUCUUAAGUCGGUGGUGAAAUCCUGGAGCUCAACUCCAGAACUGCCUCCGAUACUGAGAGUCUUGGAGUCCGGGAGAGGUGAGUGGAACUGCGAGUGUAGAGGUGAAAUUCGUAGAUAUUCGCAAGAACACCAGUGGCGAAGGCGGCUCACUGGCCCGGUACUGACGCUGAGGUGCGAAAGCGUGGGGAGCAAACAGGAUUAGAUACCCUGNUANUC